UACGUAGGGUGCAAGCGUUGUCCGGAAUUAUUGGGCGUAAAGAGCUCGUAGGCGGCUCGUCACGUCGGCUGUGAAAACCCAGGGCUCAACCCUGGGCCUGCAUUCGAUACGGGCAGACUAGAGUGUGGCAGGGGAGACUGGAAUUCCUGGUGUAGCGGUGAAAUGCGCAGAUAUCAGGAGGAACACCGGUGGCGAAGGCGGGUCUCUGGGCCAAUACUGACGCUGAGAAGCGAAAGCGUGGGGAGCGAACAGG
rnacentral:rRNA from 1 species